GCGAAACCUUUACACUGCACGCCAGUGCGAUAAGGGGAUCCCAAGUGCGCAGGCAUAGAGCCUGCGCUUUUGUACACCGUAGGGAGGUGUACGAAUAAGGGCUGGGCAAGACCGGUGCCAGCCGCCGCGGUAAUACCGGCAGCCCGAGUGAUGGCCGAUCUUAUUGGGCCUAAAGCGUCCGUAGCUGGCCGCGCAAGUCCAUCGGAAAAUCCACCCGCUCAACGGGUGGGCGUCCGGUGGAAACUGCGUGGCUUGGGACCGGAAGGCGCGACGGGUACGUCCGGGGUAGGAGUGAAAUCCCGUAAUCCUGGACGGACCGCCGAUGGCRAAAGCACGUCGCGAGGACGGAUCCGACAGUGAGGGACGAAAGCCAGGGUCUCGAACCGGAUUAGAUACCCGGGUAGUCCUGGCCGUAAACAAUGUCUGUUAGGUGUGGCUCCCACUACGAGUGGGUGCUGUGCCGUAGGGAAGCCGCUAAACAGACCGCCUGGGAAGUACGUCCGCAAGGAUGAAACUUAAAGGAAUUGGCGGGGGAGCACUACAACCGGAGGAGCCUGCGGUUUAAUUGGAAUCA
rnacentral:rRNA from 1 species